CUGAUCAAGGACACAUGUAAUACGCAAUGAAAGUGUGUGUUGGUUGUGGGAGGAGUGGGAGGAGGGGAGAGAGGGAAAUAAUGUGAUUAUUAUAACCAAGGAAUAAUGUUCUCAAUUGACUAAACUCCUUCAAAUGAAAAAAUAAGGAAACUGAGUCUGCAAGAGUUUAAUAAGCAAGAGAAGCAGAGGCAUAGGUGAGAGAAUAGCAAGAAACCAGGGGUGAGGGGAGCCCUGGUGACAAAGAGGACAAUGGAUUCUCUCUGUGGUCAAGGAGAGAUGGCAGUGAGAGAGGUAAAUUCACUCAGUUACCCAAAUUCCUCUUAGGAGAGUACAGUGUCAAGGGUGACAAGCCUCACCUGGCUGAGAGUGAGGUUUGUUUGGGCCCCAUUGUCAUAGCAACAAGGGAAUGUUUGGUAACAGAGCCAGUGACUUCACAGAAGCUGGUCUUAAUUCCACAUUUCUGAAACUCAGGGAAGAGCAGAGCCAGCCAGGAGAGAAUGUGGAGGCAGAGGAAGACAAUAGUUCCCUUGGAAGAGCUGUGACUACUAGAAAAGUACUGUCCUGCAACAAGGGAAUGUUUGGUA
rnacentral:lncRNA from 1 species